rnacentral:rRNA from 2 species
UCAGGACGAACGCUGGCGGCGUGCCUAAUACAUGCAAGUCGAACGAACUCUGGUAUUGAUUGGUGCUUGCAUCAUGAUUUACAUUUGAGUGAGUGGCGAACUGGUGAGUAACACGUGGGAAACCUGCCCAGAAGCGGGGGAUAACACCUGGAAACAGAUGCUAAUACCGCAUAACAACUUGGACCGCAUGGUCCGAGUUUGAAAGAUGGCUUCGGCUAUCACUUUUGGAUGGUCCCGCGGCGUAUUAGCUAGAUGGUGNGGUAACGGCUCACCAUGGCAAUGAUACGUAGCCGACCUGAGAGGGUAAUCGGCCACAUUGGGACUGAGACACGGCCCAAACUCCUACGGGAGGCAGCAGUAGGGAAUCUUCCACAAUGGACGAAAGUCUGAUGGAGCAACGCCGCGUGAGUGAAGAAGGGUUUCGGCUCGUAAAACUCUGUUGUUAAAGAAGAACAUAUCUGAGAGUAACUGUUCAGGUAUUGACGGUAUUUAACCAGAAAGCCACGGCUAACUACGUGCCAGCAGCCGCGGUAAUACGUAGGUGGCAAGCGUUGUCCGGAUUUAUUGGGCGUAAAGCGAGCGCAGGCGGUUUUUUAAGUCUGAUGUGAAAGCCUUCGGCUCAACCGAAGAAGUGCAUCGGAAACUGGGAAACUUGAGUGCAGAAGAGGACAGUGGAACUCCAUGUGUAGCGGUGAAAUGCGUAGAUAUAUGGAAGAACACCAGUGGCGAAGGCGGCUGUCUGGUCUGUAACUGACGCUGAGGCUCGAAAGUAUGGGUAGCAAACAGGAUUAGAUACCCUGGUAGUCCAUACCGUAAACGAUGAAUGCUAAGUGUUGGAGGGUUUCCGCCCUUCAGUGCUGCAGCUAACGCAUUAAGCAUUCCGCCUGGGGAGUACGGCCGCAAGGCUGAAACUCAAAGGAAUUGACGGGGGCCCGCACAAGCGGUGGAGCAUGUGGUUUAAUUCGAAGCUACGCGAAGAACCUUACCAGGUCUUGACAUACUAUGCAAAUCUAAGAGAUUAGACGUUCCCUUCGGGGACAUGGAUACAGGUGGUGCAUGGUUGUCGUCAGCUCGUGUCGUGAGAUGUUGGGUUAAGUCCCGCAACGAGCGCAACCCUUAUUAUCAGUUGCCAGCAUUAAGUUGGGCACUCUGGUGAGACUGCCGGUGACAAACCGGAGGAAGGGUGGGGGAUGACGUCAAAUCAUCAUGCCCCUUAUGACCUGGGCUACACACGUGCUACAAUGGAUGGUACAACGAGUUGCGAACUCGCGAGAGUAAGCUAAUCUCUUAAAGCCAUUCUCAGUUCGGAUUGUAGGCUGCAACUCGCCUACAUGAAGUCGGAAUCGCUAGUAAUCGCGGAUCAGCAUGCCGCGGUGAAUACGUUCCCGGGCCUUGUACACACCGCCCGUCACACCAUGAGAGUUUGUAACACCCAAAGUCGGUGGGGUA